rnacentral:rRNA from 1 species
AGUGAACGCUGGCGGCGUGCUUAACACAUGCAAGUCGAACGAGAACGGAUUAUAGCUUGCUAUAAUUGUCAGCUAAGUGGCGCACGGGUGAGUAAUGUAUAGGUAAUAUGCCUCUUACUAAGGGAUAACAAAUGGAAACGUUUGCUAAUACCUUAUACUCCUUAUUAACAUAAGUUAAUAAGGGAAAGAUUUAUUGGUAAGAGAUUAGACUGUAUUGUAUCAGUUAGUUGGUGGGGUAAUGGCUUACCAAGACUAUGACACGUAACUGGUUUGAGAGGAUGAGCAGUCACACUGGAACUGAGACACGGUCCAGACUCCUACGGGAGGCAGCAGUGGGGAAUAUUGCACAAUGGACGAAAGUCUGAUGCAGCAACGCCGCGUGGAGGAUGACACAUUUCGGUGCGUAAACUCCUUUUAUAUGAGAAGAUAAUGACGGUAUUAUAUGAAUAAGCACCGGCUAACUCCGUGCCAGCAGCCGCAGUAA